UUGGUCUUCAAAUGCCGAGAGUGUCAAAGUUAGUUAGCUACUUUAGCACGUGGCUAUGAACUUGCUUAGGUUAUCUAGCGGUUAGCAGCAAGGCGCCCCAGGUUUCUUUUCAGUUGUUUCAGAGCUCCGAUUGAGUCAAUUACAACAAAAGGUUAUUUCACAGCUAAACUUGUUUGUCUUUCAUAAAUUACAGAUCAUAAAACAGCGUAAAGUCAUUGAUUUUGGCUAAUCUUACCUUGUUAUUCUGUUUGUUUGGGAUGUAAACAGCAUCAUGGUCGUACAAAAAACUUAAAACCACUUUAAAAUGUUUUACUUCUGUGUACUGUAUUUCAGGAUGCAAUGCCCUGCAGAACAACCUAAAAAAGAGGUUCCCAAACGAGCCUGCAACCCACCUAAGACAUUUGAUGAACCAGCUCCUGGCUCACCAAAAGAUGACCAAGAUGGUGGUGACCAACUUAAUGCUUUUAAAAGCUUUUUGGUGAGUAUUGAGCAACUACGACCUAGAGUUGGUGUAGGUCACCAACACCAACAGAGGCACCAUCAGAGGAGUGCCAAAAUGCAGUGGCAUUUGGGAAACAUGGAAAAGUGCCAGAGGGGAAGACAGUCUUGGAGAAGUCAAAAGUAAAUGGGAUUUUAACUUACGUCAUGCACUGUGGCACAUGGAGAGGGUGGACACCAGUGGAGAAAGCAAAGGCCAAGAAAGCCCUCAUAAACAAGUGUCGCAUGAGGGCUAAGGGCUUGAAUGUGGCACAUUGAAUGGACAUUUUGAGACCAUCUAAUUAAGAAAUGCUGCAUGA